AAAGCGUGCGCAGGCGGUUUGUAAGACUGUCGUGAAAUCCCCGGGCUCAACCUGGGAAUGGCGAUGGUGACUGCAAGGCUAGAGUUUGGCAGAGGGGGGUAGGAAUUCCACGUGUAGCAGUGAAAUGCGUAGAUAUGUGGAGGAACACCGAUGGCGAAGGCAGCCCCCUGGGUCAAAACUGACGCUCAUGCACGAAAGCGUGGGGAGCAAACAGGAUUAGAUACCCCAGU
rnacentral:rRNA from 1 species